rnacentral:lncRNA from 1 species
AGCAAACUCAAGAGCUUUCACUCCACACUUGCCCACACGUUUUUGCCUCCAAGCUUCCUAGCUUUCAAAGUGCUCAAGUGUCCUAGCUUUCCAAAGCUUCAAAAGCUCUCCAACUUCUUCUUCUAAUCUUCUUAUUCAUCUUUACAAGUAAGAAGUGUUGUUUGCUUUAAUAUUUCACUCCUCUAAUCACCUCUUGUGUGUGUCCACUUUGGUUGAGAGGGUUGUCUCAAUAGUACCAAAGUGUGAGAGAAGGUUUUUGAGCUCAACCAUAAAGCUCUAGUUUGGUUUUAUAGAGUUUCCGGGAAAACUCUUAGGUUGAAUCUACCUUGAAAGAUUUCAGAGGUUUUUAAGAGUUCCUUGAUACUCUAAGGUACUAACUUACCCGUAAAAGUUAGAGGUUCUUAAGAGUGCCCUUGAUACUCUAAGGUGUGAGUCUACCCGUAAAAGACUGGUUCCUAAGCGAAGUAGCCUUAAAGCUUAGAGAUUUUUUUAAGAGUUCCUUGAUACUCUAAGGUACUAACUUACCCGCAAAAGUUAGAGGUUCUUAAGAGUGCCUUUGAUACUCUAAGGUGUGAGUCUACCCGUAAAAGACUGUUUCCUAAGCGAAGUAGCAUUAAAGCUUAGAGAGGUUCUUAAGAGUUUCCUUGAUACUCUAAGGUUUUGCCAUAACCUUUAGGCGAGUGAAUUCCGGAAGUUGGUCGAGACUGGACUAGCCCUUGUUUGGGUGAACCAGUAUAAAACUCUUGUGUUGUUCUCUGUUAAUUAUAGGUUUAUCUUUUAUCUAAAAACAACACUUAAUUAAAAAGGAUCCCUCUUCCAGUUAUCUGGUCAAACACAGAGGUUGACUACUUUACGCAGAUCCCUCAUCCAGUUAUCUGGUCAACUAUCUGAGGUUAUAUUCAUUGCUUUAAAUCCUUAUAUUUGUUCAAGUAUUACUUAUCGUAUAUAUCCAGUUAUCUGGUCAUUUACUUGCUUAUCAAUAUAUCCAGUUAUCUGGUCAUUUACUUGCUUAUCAAUAUAUCCAAUUAUCUGGUCAUUUACUCUACAAUAUAAUUUGUGUUUACAAUAUAACUUAGUAUUCAUAUUCUAUAGUUGUGUGCAAAACACUAUCAAGCAAGUUGACUCAGUAUUCAUAUACUGAAGUAAGCUUCGAAGUGUAAUAAUUACGUUAUUAUAUCAAUCAAAGUUAUAAUAUCUUUAUAUCAUUAUUGUUCAACCAUUUGUUUGCUAAGCGUUUAGAGGUAAUUCCGCAAUCAACCUGUAUAAAUCGAAAAGAGGCUACUAUCCCCCCUUAUA